rnacentral:rRNA from 1 species
CUGGCGGCGCGCUUAACACAUGCAAGUCGAGCGAGAAAGGGGAGCAAUCCCUGAGUACAGCGGCGUACGGGUGAGUAACACGUGGAUGAUCUACCUUCUAGUGGGGGAUAACCCUGGGAAACCGGGGCUAAUACCGCAUAAGCCUGUGAAGGGAAAGCAGCAAUGCGCUGGAAGAGGAGUCCGCGGCCGAUUAGCUAGUUGGUGAGGUAACGGCCCACCAAGGCGAUGAUCGGUAGCCGGCCUGAGAGGGCACACGGCCACACUGGCACUGAAACACGGGCCGGACUCCUACGGGAGGCAGCAGUGGGGAAUCUUGCACAAUGGAGGCAACUCUGAUGCAGCGACGCCGCGUGAGCGAUGAAGCCCUUCGGGGUGUAAAGCUCUUUCGGCAGGGACGAUGAUGACGGUACCUGAAGAAGAAGCUGCGGCUAACUACGUGCCAGCAGCCGCGGUAAUACGUAGGCAGCGAGCGUUGUUCGGAAUUACUG